AUAAAAUAAAAAUAAAUAUUCAUGCUGGCCUGGAACUCACUAUGGAGCCCAGGCUGGCCUGGAAAUUGCUUAUUUGGUUUGCUUUGCUGGAUUUGUUUGUUUGUUUUCCAGGGGAGGGGGUGUUCAAGUCAGGAUUUCACUCUACAGCUCUGGCUGUCCUGGGACUCACUAUGUAGACUAGGCUGACCUAAAGCUUACAGAGAUCUGCCCACCUUGGCAUCCUGAGUGCUGGGAUUAAAGUUGUGUGUUGCUUGCCCUUAAACUCACAGAGAUCCUUCUGUUUCAGUUUUUCACGUGUUGGAAUUACAGGCAUGUGUGUCCACCAUGAAGUUUUCUUCUCAACAGCACAUGAAAACAGCAGUGUUCAUGACAACAUCUUCUCCAUCUUGGAGACUGGAUGGUUCCCUCUGUAUUCUUGACUUAUCUUUGUCCCUAAAACCUCACUUCUUCCACCAGGCAUGGUGGCGCACGCCUUUAAUCCCAGCACUUGGGAGGCAGAGGCAGGCGUAUUUCUGAGUUCGAGGCCAGCCUGGUCUACAGAGUGAGUUCCAGGACAGCCAGGGACACACAGAGAAACCCUGUCUCGAAAAGAACAAAAACAAAAAAAAAAACAACAACAACAACAACAAAAACCCUCACUUCUUCUGAAAAGCUUCUGUGGCCAUACACUUUAGACCAGAGUGACAAGCAUAAAUGUUCAUAGGGAAUAAACAAAGUGGACCCGAGCAAGUGUUUUGCUAUAGGGACACGUGGGCCGUGACAUUUGUAGAGUAUAUACUUCUGCUUGGCUCCAAGAUGGUAAUGAACACAGUGGAAGACCUCAAUGUUACUGAAUCUCUAAAAAUUUAGGCGUCUAAACUGUUAGGUAAAACAUUUUGGCUUUUAAAUGUUGGCAAGUCAGGAGUGCAGGUAAAUUUAUAGUCUUUGACAAGAACAAAUAAUUUUUGCAUAGUGAGGGCCAUGUGUAAAAAGAUAAACAAAGACCUACGGUGGCAUGUGCCUCUAGUCGUAGCUCCUGAGAGGUAGAGGCAAGAGAAUCUUAAGCUUUAUGGCCAGCCUGCUACAUGAGGAGACCCUACCUAUCUCACAAGACAAGAAGAGUAGAGCAAAGUCAGCCCGCCGCCAAGGCUCUGUGUCAUCUGCUUAGUCCUGGGUUAUUUUGGAGAAAGUAGCAGUAUCUGAGUCAUCUUGGCAGACUGGGAAAGAUGUGCCACUGUGGGUAAGCCCCUCCGCCCAGAGCUCCGAUUUCCUCUUCUGCAGACUGGGAUGCACUCAAGGGUUCCCAACAGAUGUCCAUCUAAGUCCAGCACAGCUUCAGAAAUGCUCUCUGGAGCUGGGGAGUGGCGGAGGGACCCCGAGGCUUGCAGAACGACAGCUGAGCCUUUGUUCUGUUUUCCUCCCUGGGAUUUUUCUUUGCUUUUUCUGUUUAAAAUCCUGGACUUCUGCCAAAAGUUUAAAAAUAAAAUCUGAGAAGUGUGUUUUCG
rnacentral:lncRNA from 1 species